UUGAAUAUUAUAUGUCUGAAUAUACCAUGCUGGUAACAACCUAUAAACAUAUGUAUGUUGCAUGUUCUAAAGAAAUAUUUUUGCCUUCAGAUUGAUUUUGUAGCAAGCAAAUUGUCAUGAUCCCGUAAAGACCAUAAAUAGACUCAAAUUCAGAUCUGUGUACAUAGUGCAGCCUUUUAUCCAUUAGACCACUGUGUCAAGGUUGUUCUCAUGGUUCUUAGACUCAAAUUCAGAUCAAUGUACAUUACUUCACCC
rnacentral:lncRNA from 1 species